CUCUUAUCCAGAGAGGCGGAGGGAACUGGCCCUGCGAAGCCUCGGCAACCGUGUACAGACAGGUGCUAAUUCCAGCAAAGCAAUACGCUUUGGCAGAUAAGAG
rnacentral:ncRNA from 2 species